rnacentral:rRNA from 1 species
AACGCGAAGAACCUUACCUACCCUUGACAUCCUGCGAAGAUGGCUGAGAGGCUAUUGUGCCGAAAGGAGCGCAGAGACAGGUGCUGCAUGGCUGUCGUCAGCUCGUGUUGUGAGAUGUUGGGUUAAGUCCCGUAACGAGCGCAACCCUUGUCCUUAGUUGCCAGCAUUGAGUUGGGGACUCUAAGGAGACUGCCGGUGAUGAACCGGAGGAAGGCGGGGACGACGUCAAGUCAUCAUGGCCUUUAUGGGUAGGGCUACACACGUGCUACAAUGGGCCGUACAGAGGGAAGCCAACCCGUGAGGGGGAGCGAAUCUCGAAAAGCGGCUCGUAGUCCGGAUUGGAGUCUGCAACUCGACUCCAUGAAGUUGGAAUCGCUAGUAAUCGCGAAUCAGCAUUGUCGCGGUGAAUACGUUCCCGGGCCUUGUACACACCGGUAUCUC